GAUGAACGCUGGCGGCGUGCUUAACACAUGCAAGUCGAACGAAGAUGCCGGAGUGCUUGCACUUUGGCAGACUGAGUGGCGGGCGGGUGAGUAACGCGUGGGUAACCUGCCUUAUACAGGGGGAUAACAGUUGGAAACGACUGCUAAUACCGCAUAAGCGCACGGUAUCGCAUGAUACAGUGUGAAAAACUCCGGUGGUAUAAGAUGGACCCGCGUCUGAUUAGCCAGUUGGCAGGGUAACGGCCUACCAAAGCGACGAUCAGUAGCCGGCCUGAGAGGGUGAACGGCCACAUUGGGACUGAGACACGGCCCAAACUCCUACGGGAGGCAGCAGUGGGGAAUAUUGCACAAUGGGGGAAACCCUGAUGCAGCGACGCCGCGUGAGUGAUGAAGUAUUUCGGUAUGUAAAACUCUAUCAGCAGGGAAGAUAAUGACGGUACCUGACUAAGAAGCACCGGCUAAAUACGUG
rnacentral:rRNA from 1 species